rnacentral:lncRNA from 1 species
AUCACCCCGCACGUGCCUGCGCUGGCACCGCGUCGUCCUGGCGAGCGCCUCCUCGCGGCGGAAGGAGAUCCUGGGGUUCGCUGUGCGAGACAUGUCGGCGGGGUUUCACGCCUUGGAGGGGCUGAUCCUGGAGAAGUCAAAGGACCAGGAGGACGCCAUGGGGGGUGCUGUACAGGCUGAGCAGGAAGCAGAGCAGCACAGCGUCAUCAUGAGGGUAGCCAUCUUCACCUGGGGCAUCCACGGAGGAGGAGCUGAUCCACGACUACUUGGACAACAGCACACCAGCGAAGGAUGGUGAGGCCCUGCCCCCUGCCUGCACAUGACACUGCCCACGCCCUGUCUGAGACUCUACCAAGUGGUUCUGGGAUAAUAGAUUGAGGGGAUGGGGGCUGCAUACAUUUGCAUGAUUUUGCAUAUUUUGGGCUCAUUUGAAUAAAUUUGUAUAAGUUAACACCAGUUCUCUCAGGACAAAUUUGCAUAGAUUUGUGUGUGACGUCUUGGGCAAAUUAGCAUAAACCAAAAUGAUGUCAUA